GCUACCAAUCUCUUGGAUAAGGAAAAUAGGGAUAAUUAACUCACAUAUCUGAGCUAUGGGGAUUUAAAAGCCUGCGUAUAGUUGCUAUGCAUGGGACCUGAAGAUUCAGGAUCCCUGAUAGAAGAAGAAUGUUUCUAGUGCUUGGAGCAAAGAACUAUCUUAUAAUUAGACUUUUGGUAGCCAUGUCAUCCUUUGUCUGGACUGCUCUGGAAAACUAUGUGGCGUGAGAGAAGAAUGCGUAUGAAAGUCAUCACAAGCUCCAGAGGGUCAAAAAGACACAAGACACUUGGAGAUGAUCAAUGAGUAUCCACUGUGCCCGAGGCCGAACGAAUUGGCAGAACAGAGACAGGAGACAGGCAGACAGUCCCAAAGAUGAGACCACAAACGAAAGAUAACGAAGCCCAACCAUAAACCGGAAGGAUAACUGAAGGUUCAGUCUUACUUGGCCAGUAAGAUUGACUCGAGCCCUGAUAGACUGGUAACUAUAAAUAAUCUGCAGGAUGAGUGCGUGUAAAUGCAUAUGCUGAAUUUCAUACUGCAUUGUUAAUAAACAGGGCCUAUUGCCUUUUCCCCUCAGAAAGAUCCCAUAUGCUUCUUAUGCUUAACACGUGUCCACACGGCAACUACACAGCACCUUCAUGUGAGGGUGGGUAAACCCAGCGGGGCUUAUCCCCAGCAAUGGCUCACCUGCUCCUACUGCAGGCAGGGGGCUUACAUGAGGUAGGGGGCCAUGGCAGAUGGGAUAAAUGCACCCUCAGCCUGGCCUCUUCCUGCCCACCCCCUGGAUCAGCCUGUAUUGCAAAUAUUGUUAAUUAUUAUCAGGGCUCAACAAAUCACUGAAUCUACUCAUCUGUGGCAAGUAGCUUUCAGCCGCUUGCCCCUGUUGCAUAAAAAAGCCUCCUCCUGAGCUUACUUGAUUUAUGUACAUGGAUUUUCUGAAACUACACCAAACUGUAAGGUCAA